rnacentral:rRNA from 1 species
GGUUAAGCGACUAAGCGUACACGGUGGAUGCCCUGGCAGUCAGAGGCGAUGAAGGACGUGCUAAUCUGCGAUAAGCGUCGGUAAGGUGAUAUGAACCGUUAUAACCGGCGAUUUCCGAAUGGGGAAACCCAGUGUGAUUCGUCACACUAUCAUUAACUGAAUCCAUAGGUUAAUGAGGCGAACCGGGGGAACUGAAACAUCUAAGUACCCCGAGGAAAAGAAAUCAACCGAGAUUCCCCCAGUAGCGGCGAGCGAACGGGGAGCAGCCCAGAGCCUGAAUCAGUGUGUGUGUUAGUGGAAGCGUCUGGAAAGGCGCGCGAUACAGGGUGACAGCCCCGUACACAAAAAUGCACAUGCUGUGAGCUCGAUGAGUAGGGCGGGACACGUGGUAUCCUGUCUGAAUAUGGGGGGACCAUCCUCCAAGGCUAAAUACUCCUGACUGACCGAUAGUGAACCAGUACCGUGAGGGAAAGGCGAAAAGAACCCCGGCGAGGGGAGUGAAAAAGAACCUGAAACCGUGUACGUACAAGCAGUGGGAGCACGCUUAGGCGUGUGACUGCGUACCUUUUGUAUAAUGGGUCAGCGACUUAUAUUCUGUAGCAAGGUUAACCGAAUAGGGGAGCCGAAGGGAAACCGAGUCUUAACUGGGCGUUAAGUUGCAGGGUAUAGACCCGAAACCCGGUGAUCUAGCCAUGGGCAGGUUGAAGGUUGGGUAACACUAACUGGAGGACCGAACCGACUAAUGUUGAAAAAUUAGCGGAUGACUUGUGGCUGGGGGUGAAAGGCCAAUCAAACCGGGAGAUAGCUGGUUCUCCCCGAAAGCUAUUUAGGUAGCGCCUCGUGAAUUCAUCUCCGGGGGUAGAGCACUGUUUCGGCAAGGGGGUCAUCCCGACUUACCAACCCGAUGCAAACUGCGAAUACCGGAGAAUGUUAUCACGGGAGACACACGGCGGGUGCUAACGUCCGUCGUGAAGAGGGAAACAACCCAGACCGCCAGCUAAGGUCCCAAAGUCAUGGUUAAGUGGGAAACGAUGUGGGAAGGCCCAGACAGCCAGGAUGUUGGCUUAGAAGCAGCCAUCAUUUAAAGAAAGCGUAAUAGCUCACUGGUCGAGUCGGCCUGCGCGGAAGAUGUAACGGGGCUAAACCAUGCACCGAAGCUGCGGCAGCGACGCUUAUGCGUUGUUGGGUAGGGGAGCGUUCUGUAAGCCUGUGAAGGUGUGCUGUGAGGCAUGCUGGAGGUAUCAGAAGUGCGAAUGCUGACAUAAGUAACGAUAAAGCGGGUGAAAAGCCCGCUCGCCGGAAGACCAAGGGUUCCUGUCCAACGUUAAUCGGGGCAGGGUGAGUCGACCCCUAAGGCGAGGCCGAAAGGCGUAGUCGAUGGGAAACAGGUUAAUAUUCCUGUACUUGGUGUUACUGCGAAGGGGGGACGGAGAAGGCUAUGUUGGCCGGGCGACGGUUGUCCCGGUUUAAGCGUGUAGGCUGGUUUUCCAGGCAAAUCCGGAAAAUCAAGGCUGAGGCGUGAUGACGAGGCACUACGGUGCUGAAGCAACAAAUGCCCUGCUUCCAGGAAAAGCCUCUAAGCAUCAGGUAACAUCAAAUCGUACCCCAAACCGACACAGGUGGUCAGGUAGAGAAUACCAAGGCGCUUGAGAGAACUCGGGUGAAGGAACUAGGCAAAAUGGUGCCGUAACUUCGGGAGAAGGCACGCUGAUAUGUAGGUGAAGUCCCUCGCGGAUGGAGCUGAAAUCAGUCGAAGAUACCAGCUGGCUGCAACUGUUUAUUAAAAACACAGCACUGUGCAAACACGAAAGUGGACGUAUACGGUGUGACGCCUGCCCGGUGCCGGAAGGUUAAUUGAUGGGGUUAGCGGUAACGCGAAGCUCUUGAUCGAAGCCCCGGUAAACGGCGGCCGUAACUAUAACGGUCCUAAGGUAGCGAAAUUCCUUGUCGGGUAAGUUCCGACCUGCACGAAUGGCGUAAUGAUGGCCAGGCUGUCUCCACCCGAGACUCAGUGAAAUUGAACUCGCUGUGAAGAUGCAGUGUACCCGCGGCAAGACGGAAAGACCCCGUGAACCUUUACUAUAGCUUGACACUGAACAUUGAGCCUUGAUGUGUAGGAUAGGUGGGAGGCUUUGAAGUGUGGACGCCAGUCUGCAUGGAGCCGACCUUGAAAUACCACCCUUUAAUGUUUGAUGUUCUAACGUGGACCCGUAAUCCGGGUUGCGGACAGUGUCUGGUGGGUAGUUUGACUGGGGCGGUCUCCUCCUAAAGAGUAACGGAGGAGCACGAAGGUUGGCUAAUCCUGGUCGGACAUCAGGAGGUUAGUGCAAUGGCAUAAGCCAGCUUGACUGCGAGCGUGACGGCGCGAGCAGGUGCGAAAGCAGGUCAUAGUGAUCCGGUGGUUCUGAAUGGAAGGGCCAUCGCUCAACGGAUAAAAGGUACUCCGGGGAUAACAGGCUGAUACCGCCCAAGAGUUCAUAUCGACGGCGGUGUUUGGCACCUCGAUGUCGGCUCAUCACAUCCUGGGGCUGAAGUAGGUCCCAAGGGUAUGGCUGUUCGCCAUUUAAAGUGGUACGCGAGCUGGGUUUAGAACGUCGUGAGACAGUUCGGUCCCUAUCUGCCGUGGGCGCUGGAGAACUGAGGGGGGCUGCUCCUAGUACGAGAGGACCGGAGUGGACGCAUCACUGGUGUUCGGGUUGUCAUGCCAAUGGCACUGCCCGGUAGCUAAAUGCGGAAGAGAUAAGUGCUGAAAGCAUCUAAGCACGAAACUUGCCCCGAGAUGAGUUCUCCCUGACUCCUUGAGAGUCCUGAAGGAACGUUGAAGACGACGACGUUGAUAGGCCGGGUGUGUAAGCGCAGCGAUGCGUUGAGCUAACCGGUACUAAUGAACCGUGAGGCUUAACCUU